AGCGUGCAGUGUGAAAACAUCUUAAUAUCGGGCUAGAAAGACAGAUAUUUCAGAUAAUAAUUAUGGAAUGUUUUUCUUCAUAAUUAUAAAUAGAAUUGUCGAUGCGAUCACCAACAAAAUCACUAUUAGUUUAUCGGAUUGGAUUUGGCUGACAAUGGCUGUCCGGUAUUAAACUAUCCGUGAGCUUCUAUGGAAGUAUUUCACGAGAUGCGCAGUCUGUGGAAUUAUCGCCAACGACCGGUCACGUUUACUAUAAGUUUUUUGGGACAAACGCCCAAAUCUUCUGAGUUAUGUGUACGAGUUUCGUAGCGAGAAAACAUAGAAAAACAGCUCGUUACAUCUGGCGAUCUUCAGCGAGCUUUAUUAGCGAGGAGCUGGCGGAUAAUUUGGCUGCUCUCAGAAGAAUUACAUAAUAAAGACGACAAGUUAGGUUGGCAAAUGGAAGGAGCUGCGGAAUAAGUGCGCAGCUCGAGCCAGAAGUCAAAUUGGGAAACAAACGACUAACCAUGAGCCUGUUAAUAUUGCCAGAAGUAGAAGAUGCGUUGGUGCCAGCCCGUCGCCAGUAUAAGAUCCACAGGUCAAUAAAUUGUAAUAGCUUCCAGGAACAAACACAUCGGAUGCCGGGAGGAAAGUAUGUCAAUGGCAUUUUUUCAAGACGGCAACGAGAAGAUAAUGUUGACCAGUUUCUAGAAGCAGAACUGCCAGAUUUCCGUAUUACAAGUGCAACUUCAAACCUAGCCAAGCACCAAAUCACCAUAAGGGACUAGAAAGCUAUAAAACAAAGACACCACUCAGCAAGAACCACGUUCAACGCGCGUUAAAAUCUUGCUUUGAUGUUUUUGCACCUCCAUCUACCUAUUGCUAUAUUUUAAGUUACAAACAGAAUAUUAUUGUCAAAGUUGAUAAAAUAAAUUCUUCUUAUUUUUAAGAA